rnacentral:rRNA from 1 species
AGAGUUUGAUCCUGGCUCAGAUUGAACGCUGGCGGCAGGCCUAACACAUGCAAGUCGAGCGGAUGAGAAGAGCUUGCUCUUCGAUUCAGCGGCGGACGGGUGAGUAAUACCUAGGAAUCUGCCUGGUAGUGGGGGACAACGUUUCGAAAGGAACGCUAAUACCGCAUACGUCCUACGGGAGAAAGCAGGGGACCUUCGGGCCUUGCGCUAUCAGAUGAGCCUAGGUCGGAUUAGCUAGUUGGUGAGGUAAUGGCUCACCGAGGCUACGAUCCGUAACUGGUCUGAGAGGAUGAUCAGUCACACUGGAACUGAGACACGGUCCAGACUCCUACGGGAGGCAGCAGUGGGGAAUAUUGGACAAUGGGCGAAAGCCUGAUCCAGCCAUGCCGCGUGUGUGAAGAAGGUCUUCGGAUUGUAAAGCACUUUAAGUUGGGAGGAAGGGCAGUAAGCGAAUACCUUGCUGUUUUGACGUUACCGACAGAAUAAGCACCGGCUAACUCUGUGCCAGCAGCCGCGGUAAUACAGAGGGUGCAAGCGUUAAUCGGAAUUACUGGGCGUAAAGCGCGCGUAGGUGGUUCGUUAAGUUGGAUGUGAAAUCCCCGGGCUCAACCUGGGAACUGCAUCCAAAACUGGCGAGCUAGAGUAGGGCAGAGGGUGGUGGAAUUUCCUGUGUAGCGGUGAAAUGCGUAGA